UUCUCUUAAGGAAUACAUCACAGCCUGCAUCCAUACACCUAUCCCACCAGGCUGCCUAGCUGAAAUGACACAUACCUACAGAACCUGAUCUCACUCCGGAGUUAAGAGGAAUGUCUGUCUUUGAAAUGAGGAAACUUCAACUCUGCUGGAGCACCUAUCAGCUGCAAAAGAUGUUUCCCAUAGUGCACGGCAUCAUGUGAAAUAUUGUAUGUUGAAGAAGCAAGUCCAUUGAGCACCAUCAGAAUCCUUUUCCAGUUGGAACAGCCUGCUUUAGAAGUUGAUAAGAAAAGAUCGACGUUUCUCUUGAGCCUCAUCUGCAUCUUUCCAUCUGUCAUCUUUGAUCAAACUCUUGUUUAAAG